AACCCAUUAACAAUUAUGGAAAAUACACUGUUUCUAUAACAAGUUUGAUCAAUGAGUGUAACAUAGUUUAGGAGAACCACAGACCAAGCUGGAGUACGAUAGGGGCAGAGAGAAUUUUCGGUGGAGCGGUGAAAUGCAUAGAAAUCGGAAAGAACACCAACGGCGAAAGUACUCUACUGGGCCAACACUGACACUGAGAGACGAAAGCUAGGGGAGCGAAUGGGAUUAGAUACCCCAGUAGUCCUAGCCGUAAAUGAUGGAUACUAGGCGUUGUGCGUAUCGACCCGUGUAAUGCUGUAGCUAACAUGUUAAGUAUCCCGCUUGGGGAGUACGUUCGCAAGAAUGAAACUUGAAGGAAUUGACGGGGGCCCGCACAAGCGGUAGAGCAUGUGGUUUAAUUCUAUGCAAAGCAAAGAACCUUACCAGGGCUUGACAUGCCUCGAAUCAUCUUGAAAGAGAGGGGUGCUUUCAGGAACGCGGACACAGGUGGUGCAUGGCUGUCGUCAAUUCGUGCCGUAAGGUAUUGGGUUAAGUCCCGCAACGAGCGCAACCCUUGUGUUUAGUUGCCCUCGUUGAGUUUGGAACCCUGAACAGACUGCCGGUGAUAAGUCGGAGGAAGGUGAGGAUGACGUCAAGUCAUCAUACCCUUUAUGCCCUGGACGACACAUGUGCUACAAUAGCCGGGACAAAGGAUCGCGAUCCCGUGAGGGUGAGCUAACCCCAAAAACCCAUUAGUAAUCUUUUUUAGAAAUCGAAUGGAUUCGGUCUUAUACAUACGCGAGGAAGCUAAUCAAAAAAGAAAGAAGAUGACUUCUUCUUUCUUUUAUCACUUAGGAGCCGUGUGAGAUAAAAGUCUCAUGCACGGUUUUGAAUGAGAAAAAGAAGUGAGGAAUCAUCUUUU
rnacentral:rRNA from 1 species